rnacentral:ncRNA from 1 species
GCACCAUCCCGAGCGGCCGAGAGACCUGGAUCCAUGACGCCGCAGCAACCCGCAGUGCUCGGCCAACUGCACGGUGCUACCGCCAGGACCGAUGGAGU